GUUUACACACGCCAUCAUAAAACGCGUGUCGACAAGCACGACGAUUAGCCACGUCCGCCGGAAGCAUGAGAAUAACGGAGAGACCCAAAACGACGACGAAUUUGGGGAAGUAAGUUUGCUUAACGUCAUCGGGAUGUUGGUAGUUCACAAGAAGGUAGACAUUGAAGAGGAACACGAUCGCUACGAUUACUAGAGGAAUUGAUUAUCCGAGUGUUUUCUUUUCAUCAGCUGAAUGCUAAUUUACUCUAGCCAGGAACUUUUGCAUUUGCCGAAUGGUUAGUUCAACACAAAUCAUGCAUUGAAGGACGGGGUACCAUUAAGUUGGGGAGGUGCUUUGGCCAUAUUUCUUCGAAAAUUAUAUAAUUAUAUAGUCUCGAUAUUACAACUUCAGACUAUGAUGAUCAAGUAAUACAGGAGAUUAUAGCUCACAACUGUCGCACAAAUGAUUUACCUGUCAUUCCUCAUAUAAAACGUUUUGGAUGAGCUAAAUUUCUCUUCAUUUGUCUCUCCGAUUGCAGAAGGUUGUAUUUUUGCUAUUGUUUUAAACUCAAAAGUUUUGUCUAAUUCUUUUUGUAUUAUAACAAUAACAAGAACACAAUAAGAAUUUUUUUCAUUUAAUUAAUUAAUUAAUUAAUUCA